rnacentral:rRNA from 1 species
UACGUAGGGGGCAAGCGUUGUCCGGAUUUAUUGGGCGUAAAGAGCGUGUAGGCGGUUCGGUAGGUCCGUUGUGAAAACUCGAGGCUCAACCUCGAGACGCCGAUGGAAACCCUCGAACUAGAGUCCGGAAGAGGAGAGUGGAAUUCCUGGUGUAGCGGUGAAAUGCGCAGAUAUCAGGAAGAACACCCGUGGCUAAGGCGGCUCUCUAGUACGGUACUGACGCUGAGACGCGAAAGCGUGGGGAGCAAACAGG